rnacentral:rRNA from 1 species
CAGCCGCCACGGUAAUACGUAGGGGGCAAGCGUUGUCCGGAAUCAUUGGGCGUAAAGCGCGUGUAGGCGGCUCGAUAAGUCUGCUGUGAAAGUCCAGGGCUCAACCCUGGAAUGCCGGUGGAAACUGUCGAGCUCGAGUCCGGAAGAGGCAAGUGGAAUUCCUGGUGUAGCGGUGAAAUGCGCAGAUAUCAGGAGGAACACCAAUGGCGAAGGCAGCUUGCUGGGACGGUACUGACGCUGAGACGCGAAAGCGUGGGGAGCAAACAGGAUUAGAUACCCGAGUAGUCCCUGUCUCUUAUAC